UGAAGCUGAACUCAGUGGACAGGACAGCUAUGGACAUCCAGGUGAUACUGAUUGUAGCACUGACGCUUGUAUCAACACAAGUGGAUAAGUGCAUGGAGGACCAACAGUGCUCAAACUGCUCAAGUACAACACAAUACUGCAGUACAGAUUGCUUUUCGGGGUAUUUCGACCGCAGAUGCAAGUCCCGCUGU